GGGCGAUUGGCGCAGUUGGCUAGCGCGCUACAAUGACACUGUAGAGGUCACUGGUUCGAGUCCAGUAUCGCCCA
rnacentral:tRNA from 1 species